CUCUGUAGCCAUAACACCUGCCUGAUCUCAGAAGCUAGGUAGGAUUGUGCCUAGGUGGCAUUUGGAUGGGAGAAUGCCUAGGAACACUGGGUCCUAUAGGCU
rnacentral:rRNA from 1 species